CCUACGGGAGGCUGCAGUGGGGAAUAUUGCACAAUGGGGGAAACCCUGAUGCAGCGACGCCGCGUGAGUGAAGAAGUAAUUCGUUAUGUAAAGCUCUAUCAGCAGGGAAGAAAAUGACGGUACCUGAGUAAGAAGCCCCGGCUAACGACGUGCCAGCAGCCGCGGUAAUACGUAGGGGGCAAGCGUUAUCCGGAGUUACUGGGUGUAAAGGGAGCGUAGACGGCAGUGCAAGUCUGGAGUGAAAGGCGGGGGCUCAACCCCCGGACUGCUCUGGAAACUGUACGGCUGGAGUGCAGGAGAGGUAAGUGGAAUUCCUAGUGUAGCGGUGACAUGCGUAGCUAUCGCGCAGAACCCCGAUUGCGAAGGCAGCGUACCGGCUCCACACUGACGCUGAGGCACGAAAGCGUGGGUAUCGAACAGGAUUAGAUACCCGGGUAGUC
rnacentral:rRNA from 1 species